GACAGAGGAUGCAAGCGUUAUCCGGAAUGAUUGGGCGUAAAGCGUCUGUAGGUGGCUUUUCAAGUCCGCCGUCAAAUCCCAGGGCUCAACCCUGGACAGGCGGUGGAAACUGCCAAGCUGGAGUACGGUAGGGGCAGAGGGAAUUUCCGGUGGAGCGGUGAAAUGCGUAGAGAUCGGAAAGAACACCAACGGCGAAGGCGGGUAGCUGGGCCGACACUGACGCUGAGGCGCGAAAGCCAGGGGAGCGAACGGG
rnacentral:rRNA from 1 species